rnacentral:rRNA from 1 species
CCUACGGGAGGCAGCAGGGGGGAAUAUUGCGCAAUGGGCGAAAGCCUGACGCAGCGACGCCGCGGGAGGGAUGAAGGUCUUCGGAUCGGAAACCUCUGUUAGCAGGGAAGAACGGUCACUGUGCUAAUCAGCAGUGAAUUGACGGUACCUGCAAAGGAAGCACCGGAUAACUCCGUGCCAGCAGCCGCGGUAAUACGGAGGGUGCGAGCGCUAAUCGGAAUUACUGGGCGUAAAGCGCUCGUAGGCGGUAUGUCAAGUCAAGGGUGAAAUCCCCGCGCUCAACGUGGGAACUGCCUUUGAAACUGGCAAACUGGAGUGUGUGAGAGGAUAGUGGAAUUCCAGGUGUAGUGGUGAAAUCCGUAGAUAUCUGGAGGAACAUCAGUGGCGAAGGCGACUAUCUGGCACAUAACUGACGCUGAGGAGCGAAAGCGUGGGUAGCAAACAGGAUUAGAUACCCUGGUAGUC